CUGCCCAGUCCAUGCCGCCGCCGGCCAAGAAGGAAAGGAGCACCUCCGCCCUCCAAGCCCCAGAUCUGGCCGUCGAGCGCGGGCUCCGGUGCCCCCGCGCGCCCAGCCUCCUCCGACGAAGAGGAGGCGGCGCCCGUCGGCGGCAACCCCAGCUCAUCGUCCGAGGCCUCGAGUAGGAAGCCCAGCUCUGGCUGCUGCCCCGAUGUCGGCGCCGGCGUCUCCGCGGCCUCGUCGAAGCUAGCUAUCUCCUCCUACAGGCUCCGCAUGACCGACGGUAGGUCGCCGACCGCGGCCGUGUCGGUGUCGUCCUCCAGCAUGUCGAGCAGGUCCUGCGGCCGCAGCCUCUUGGCGUCGGCCUGCGGCGAGCCCUCCUCUCCACAGCCUCCGGCGGCGAGGUCGGCCGCCUCCCGCGUCCGCUUGUGA
rnacentral:misc_RNA from 1 species